UUAUCCCCUGUUCUUAGCAUCUACUUCUUCUCCCCUUGUCCUCUCUCUCUCACGAGCAAGCAUCGCCGCCACCGGUCGCCGCCGGGAAGUCGUCCGGCGCACACGCGCCGGUGAGUCGUCGUGCGCACUCCCCGCCGCGGAUCCGGAUCGGGCCACCGUUUGGCGCUAGAAACCACGGGCGGCGGCGGCCCUGUGACCCGUGGUUUCCGGCGGGGAUAACGACGACCGGUUCGCAGAUCCAUGUCUUCCAACGGGAUGACGGCCAGUACUCGCGGGGUUGGCGAUGUCCGGAUCAGCCCCUCCCUGCAACCCAUCCCCAUCGCCGGGCCCUUCCCGGCAGCGGCCACGCCGACGGCCGACCUCCCCGGCGCGCAGCCUGCAGAGACCCUCUGCUCCCUUGCGGUGGUCCGAUGGCUUUGGCGCCGCUGCUCCCCUGCGUGCUGGUUGCGAGAUGGGAUCAGGGGCCCAUUGCCUCCGUCAUCGCCCCUUCCGGCCAAGCAAAACUCAGCUUUGCCAAUGGAUGAGGCACUGCUGACCCUCAUUUAAGGGAAAACUCAGCUUUGCAAUCAGCUAAAGAGGUAUUUCCUUCCUGUCAGAUAUAUAAUGCAGAGCUCACAGAAAGGUAAAUUUAUUGAACUCCUUUUGCUGGAAAUUAUGAUUAAUUUUGUUCUUAUGUAGAAUGUCUUUAAUUUGCAUCUGAAUUUCUUGUGCCGCACUCACGCAACUGCUCUGACACGGAUGAGUGCUAGCACACAAAAGCUGUGUUUGGUAGGUGAUUGAGGACGCAUUUGCACAAAAACCGUUGGAUGAGGCACUGAAAUUGUGGUGAUUAGCAAGCAAGUUACUGCUCCAUGUAACCAUCUCAUACAAGAUCGUUAUACAAUUGUGGUGAUCAGCAAGCAAGUUACUGCUUCUUUUCACUCUUGCUAAUUUCGAAUUUUCUUACACCAUUUUAUUUGAUUGUCGCUUCUGCUGCAUUUCAGAUGGCACUCUGUCAAUGGCUCCAAACUAAUUCAGAAAAGCAUCUAUGAUCUCUCAAAGUGGUGUGUCUGUCCAGCCGUUACCAAUGGUUGCCGUAGCUGGCUUGUGGUGCUCUACCUCACGUUUGUCAGUGCCCAUGUGAAGAUUCAAGCUGCAAAUGGUUGUGUAUAGUUAGGAUAAUAUCCUAUCAAUGGACCCAGUUUUCCUAUUUCUUAGCAAUAUAUAUACGUAUUUGCUACAAGGGACGUGUUAUUAAAAUUUUAGCAUCUUGUUUCCAGUUUUGUUUGUACAUUGCCGCCAAAACUGGGUACCAAUGAACACAAAACUGAAACGCUUUAAUCAACA